GACUUCAAAUAUUUCUGUGAACUGCGACCUGGCCUCAUCGGCUGGGUCCUCAUCAACAUGGCCCUGUUGAUGAAGGAGGCAGAGCUUCGGGGCAGUCCCUCACUGGCCAUGUGGCUGGUCAAUGGCUUCCAGUUACUCUACGUGGGUGAUGCCCUCUGGCAUGAGGUGAGGCUGGACUGGACGAGAGUGGGUGUCUGAGGGCUGCAUGGGGACUAAGCCAGUGCGUCUGGGUCUUGUCCCUGCAGGAGGCCAUCCUCACCACCAUGGAUAUCACACAUGACGGGUUUGGCUUCAUGCUGGCGUUUGGGGACAUAGCCUGGGUGCCCUUCACCUACAGCCUGCAGGCCCAGUUCCUGCUGCACCACCCGCAGUCCCUGGGAUUGCCCAUGGCCUCCGUCAUCUGCCUCAUCAAUGGUCAGUCAGGAAGGGGCAGCAGGCUAGGUCCAUCUUCCCCCUCUCCCUUUGAUUCAUGCUCUGUUUACACACACCACCACAUAGGUGCUAACCCCCGGGUUCUCUAAAGCCAGGGCAGAGUCCUGGGUGUCCAGGCAGAGUCUGGGCUGCAGACAAGUUGGGCAGAUGGUCGGGGUCAGGCAGGAGGCUGCAACCCUUGACCUUGACCACCGGUUCACACUCUCUCACCAGCUAUUGGUUACUACAUCUUCCGUGGGGCGAAUUCCCAGAAAAACACUUUCCGAAAGAAUCCUUCUGACCCCAGAGUGGCUGGUAAGCUGGGUCUCUAGGGCCAUGGGUGAGGUGGGGCAGCUGGGCUUCCUUAACUCCCCACUCUGCUAUCUUUCCCCAGGGCUUGAGACCAUCUCUACAGCCACAGGGCGGAAACUGCUGGUGUCUGGGUGGUGGGGUAUGGUCCGCCAUCCCAACUACCUUGGAGACCUCAUCAUGGCUCUGGCUUGGUCCUUGCCCUGCGGGGUGUCACACCUGCUGCCCUACUUCUACCUCCUCUACUUCACCGCGCUGCUGGUGCACCGUGAGGCCCGGGAUGAGCGGCAGUGCCUGCAGAAGUACGGCCUGGCCUGGCAGGAGUACUGCCGGCGUGUGCCUUACCGCAUCAUGCCCUACAUCUACUGAAGCGGCUCCACCACCCCAGGUGGGGGCAUGUGCCCACUCAUCCACCAGCACACCCAGGACCAGGAGCCUGGACACACUUGGGACUCAAGGGCUUGCACCCCACCCAGCCCUGAGCAUGAACAGCCUCAAAGAAGAGGUGGUUUAGAGCAAGGAAAA
rnacentral:sRNA from 1 species